UGCAAAUGAGGAAGUUGUGUUGCUUCAUAAACCUGCUGUUAUACUUUAGCGCUCUGGUCAGAAAUCCGAUUGUCUGGAUAUUAUUUCACCUCAUCAAGCAGACGACGAUUCUCAGGGAAGAAGUGUUUCCUGCUUCGUUGCCCUGACAACAGUGACGUCACAGCGCUGCCUGUUCUCUAAGUCAGCUUCACUUCUGCUGUUGACGUGCAGCAACUUCUUUUCUCCAUCUGAAGGUGUUUCAGAGUGACGGCAGCCUGCAGACACAGAGGACCUUGGACGGAGAAGCAGAUUUUCUAUGUUUCUGCACAAACC